rnacentral:rRNA from 1 species
GCACUGCUCAGUAACACGUGGACAACCUGCCCUGAGGACUGGAAUAAUCCCGGGAAACUGGGGGUAAUUCCAGAUAUGUCAGAACUCCUGGAAUGGGUUCUGGCAGAAAGGCUCCGGCGCCUCAGGAUGGGUCUGCGGCCUAUCAGGGUAGUAGUGGGUGUAACGUACCUACUAGCCUACGACGGGUACGGGUUGUGAGAGCAAGAGCCCGGAGAUGGAUUCUGAGACAUGAAUCCAGGCCCUACGGGGUGCAGCAGGCGCGAAAACUUUACAAUGCGGGCAACCGCGAUAAGGGGACCUCGAGUGCUGGGUUACAAACCUGGCUGUUGGGCUGCCUAAAAAGCAGUCUAUAGCAAGGGCCGGGCAAGACCGGUGCCAGCCGCCGCGGUAACACCGGCGGCUCGAGUGGUAACCGCUGUUAUUGGGUCUAAAGGGUCUGUAGCCGGCCGACUAAGUCUCUUGGGAAAUCUGGCAUCUCAAGUGUCAGGCUGCCAGGGGAUACUGGUCGGCUUGGGACCGGGAGAGGUGAGAGGUACCUCGGGGGUAGGGGUGAAAUCUUGUAAUCCUCGAGGGACCACCAGUGGCGAAGGCGUCUCACCA